rnacentral:rRNA from 1 species
AUGCUUAGGAAAAUGUUCCAAGGUGGUUCUUCAAGGAAGCAAGGACCCAGGCUUGCAAUGUGUGAUGCUGACGAUGAGCCACCAAGGGACGCUCUAGUGCGGCCUUGUGGAUGGCCUUCAGAAAAUUUUAUGGAUCGAGCGGGAAUCAAGGAAGAAUUUAAUGCAUAUUUGCGUAACGUUGAUCUUGUGAGCUUCGAGGCAGAAAAAUGCCGCCAGUACCACUAUCUCACAAGUUCCUUUGUGAGGAGGUCUGAAUUUUCAUCUUCACGUAAUUCUCCAACUGUCCUGUUUGAUCUUUAUGAAAAAUCUUAUACCAUGGACUUAGAGAAUUUUACCACUGCUUGCAAACUUCCACAAUGGGGUAGUGCUAGUGAACCCCGCAAAUCUGAAUUCAGAAAUUUUCUUGCUAGUAUAACUGUGGGGGAAUCUAGAGACAUAGCACAAGCUACCAUAGGGAGCAUUCACUUUCCUGCUAUACAUUAUUUUGCUCUCUUCAUAGGUAGGUGCAUAAAUGGUAAAGAUGAAGCAUGUCAUAUGUGUGUUCCUAACCUCAGUAUUCUUCGGAGUGCUGUGUUAGGAGACAAAUCUUAUAAUUUGGGAGCCAUUGUUGCACGUAGGUUGCAUCAUAAUAGAUUUAAUGGAGAUUUCUUUGGUGGAAUUUAUGCAACCCGCUUAGCUGAUUUUCUUGGUGUGGACAUUCGUGAGGAUGAUAUUGAGUUGCCUCCUACUUAUUUAGACUAUAAUGCUAUGGUCCACCACCAGUUUGUCGAAAGGAAUGAAUCACCUCUCCGGUAUCGCUUAAUCUUUGACAGACGUCGUGAUGUCCGUAUUACUCUCCCUGCUCCUCCCUUCUUUGAUUAUAAGGCAAAAGGAAGAUAUGUUAUUACCAGAGAGGAGGGCGGAGGCCGCUCGUCGCCAUGCUGCAGCUCAGGAGGCGAUAACUGCCGCAGCUCAGUACGACCCCGGCUACAAAUAUGGAUAUCCGCCAGGCCAUCCGUGGCAAUGAACCAACUUAGGCCAAAAGCCCAAGCUUGGGGGAGUACGUAUCUCUCACCGACAUUACAUUUAUGUUCACACACACUCAUUGCUAGAUGUCGGUGCUCAUACGUUUUCACUGUAAUAUCCAUGCUAGUUUAUUUUCUUUUUCUUGCUUUCUUGUUGUGUGUUGAAAAAUCUUAA